rnacentral:rRNA from 1 species
UACGGAGGGGACUAGCGUUGUUCGGAAUUACUGGGCGUAAAGCGCACGUAGGCGGAUGUGUCAGUCAGGGGUGAAAUCCCGGAGCUCAACUCCAGAACUGCCUUUGAUACUGAGGAUCUUGAGUUCGGGAGAGGUGAGUGGAACUGCGAGUGUAGAGGUGAAAUUCGUAGAUAUUCGCAAGAACACCAGUGGCGAAGGCGGCUCACUGGCCCGAUACUGACGCUGAGGCACGAAAGCGUGGGGAGCAAACAGG